rnacentral:rRNA from 3 species
AAGCGCACACGGUGGAUGCCUUG